GAACCUGCAGCCAUGUUGGUCACGGGAGCACAAGGGUCAAUGUUUUCUUCCAUGUUUAUACUGUUUUAGGUGUGGCUUCUGGGUGCAUAGGAGUUGUUGUUCCCGGAUUUGUGUUGCUACUUCUGGAAAUCUGUUAAAAACGACGGCAGAUGUUGAAGAUUCCAACACACUUGGACAGUGGAAAGCAAAUUGUGCGGUGAUGAUGGAGAAACAAGUCAAAGGACAGGAGGAGGAGUAUCAUCACAAAACAGGCUACAAAGCUUCUGCUGAACCAGUCACAGAGGAGGAGAUUCCACCAAAACAGCCCUUAAGAAACUACUUUUUCUGAGCAGAAGUAAUGGAGAAGAUUUUCAAAGCAUACUGCCAAUUUCCAUGUUCUUUAAUCCUUUAACAGACAAAUAAAUAUUGUCUUUUUCAUUUUAA